rnacentral:rRNA from 1 species
GAUGAACGCUGGCUACAGGCUUAACACAUGCAAGUCGAGGGGAAACGACGGGGAAGCUUGCUUCCCCGGGCGUCGACCGGCGCACGGGUGAGUAACGCGUAUCCAACCUGCCUCUGACUGAGGGAUAACCCGUCGAAAGUCGGCCUAAUACCUCAUGGCAUCGUCUGCGGGCAUCCAACGACGAUUAAAGAUUUCAUCGGUCAGGGAUGGGGAUGCGUCUGAUUAGCUUGUUGGCGGGGUAACGGCCCACCAAGGCUACGAUCAGUAGGGGUUCUGAGAGGAAGGUCCCCCACAUUGGAACUGAGACACGGUCCAAACUCCUACGGGAGGCAGCAGUGAGGAAUAUUGGGCAAUGGGCGGGAGCCUGAACCAGCCAAGUAGCGUGCAGGAUGACGGCCCUAUGGGUUGUAAACUGCUUUUAUGCGGGGAUAAAGUGAGGGACGUGUCCUUCAUUGCAGGUACCGAAUGAAUAAGGACCGGCUAAUUCCGUG